UACGUAGGGUGCAAGCGUUAAUCGGAAUUACUGGGCGUAAAGCGUGCGCAGGCGGUUGUGCAAGACAGAUGUGAAAUCCCCCGGGCUCAACCUGGGAACUGCAUUUGUGACUGCACGGCUAGAGUGUGUCAGAGGGGGGGUAGAAUUCCACGUGUAGCAGUGAAAUGCGUAGAUAUGUGGAGGAAUACCGAUGGCGAAAGGCAGCCCCCUGGGAUGACACUGACGCUCAUGGCACGAAAGCGUGGGGAGCAAACAGG
rnacentral:rRNA from 1 species